rnacentral:lncRNA from 1 species
UUGGCAUACAUGAUAGGAUGAUUCUUCAAAGGAAACACAUUUAAUUUCACAAAUCUUCAUGAUAUUUGCUUUUGACAGCAUACCAGCAACUGUGAAACAACAAACAUUUCACAGAUAGAUAUAUCUGCAUCAAAUACAUAAAGCAGGUCCAAUGAUGCAGAUCAGAUAAAAAAAAAACCAACUAACUCUUUGAGUAUUUGUCUAAAUUUGCAAUCUUGGUUAUGCUCUAGAUAAAAUUCCUCUUUUGUAAUUUUUUUAAAAUAAUGUGUUAAUUCAAUGAAAUAUUUACAUCUUCAUGAUCUUCAUUAGCUAUAGUGCCUAACAAGAUUUUGUAAGGGAAUUUGAUGUUUGCUAUACCACUGUUUAUUUCAACGCACUUUAUGAUAAUACUUCUGUACCAAUCAAAAUGAAAAUUUUUGUAGUGUUUUGAGAAAUGAUUU